AUUCUAAUUAGUUUAUUAAACAUUAAAUUGCAAAUUUAAAUUAAUAAAUCAUUAGAU
rnacentral:tRNA from 1 species